GACGAACGCUGGCGGCGUGCUUAACACAUGCAAGUCGAACGGUGAAGCGCCUUCCUUUUUGGUGGGUGUGGAUGAGUGGCGAACGGGUGAGUAACACGUGAGUAACCUGCCCCCUUCUUCUGGAUAACCGCAUGAAAGUGUGGCUAAUAUGGGAUAUUCUGGGUCUGUCGCAUGAUGGGUCUGGGAAAGAUAUUGUUUCGGUGGGGGAUGGGCUCGCGGCCUAUCAGCUUGUUGGUGGGGUGAUGGCCUACCAAGGCGGUGACGGGUAGCCGGCCUGAGAGGGUGGACGGUCACACUGGGACUGAGACACGGCCCAGACUCCUACGGGAGGCAGCAGUGGGGAAUAUUGCACAACGGGCGCAAGCCUGAUGCAGCGACGCCGCGUGAGGGAUGGAGGCCUUCGGGUUGUGAACCUCUUUCGCCAGUGAAGCAGGCCUGCCUCGUUUGUGGGUGGGUUGACGGUAGCUGGAUAAGAAGCGCCGGCUAACUACGUG
rnacentral:rRNA from 1 species